rnacentral:rRNA from 1 species
GAUGAACGCUGGCGGCGUGCUUAACACAUGCAAGUCGAGCGAUGAAGUUUCCUUCGGGAAAUGGAUUAGCGGCGGACGGGUGAGUAACACGUGGGUAACCUGCCUCAUAGAGUGGAAUAGCCUUCCGAAAGGAAGAUUAAUACCGCAUAAUGUUGAAAGAUGGCAUCAUCAUUCAACCAAAGGAGCAAUCCGCUAUGAGAUGGACCCGCGGCGCAUUAGCUAGUUGGUGGGGUAACGGCCUACCAAGGCGACGAUGCGUAGCCGACCUGAGAGGGUGAUCGGCCACAUUGGGACUGAGACACGGCCCAGACUCCUACGGGAGGCAGCAGUGGGGAAUAUUGCACAAUGGGGGAAACCCUGAUGCAGCAACGCCGCGUGAGUGAUGAAGGUUUUCGGAUCGUAAAGCUCUGUCUUUGGGGAAGAUAAUGACGGUACCCAAGGAGGAAGCCACGGCUAACUACGUGCCAGCCGCCGCGGUAA